rnacentral:rRNA from 1 species
CCUACGGGAGGCAGCAGUGGGGAAUAUUGGACAAUGGGGGGAACCCUGAUCCAGCCAUGCCGCGUGUGUGAAGAAGGCCCUCGGGUUGUAAAGCACUUUCAGUGAGGAAGAACGCCUGGUGGUUAAUACCCAUCAGGAAAGACAUCACUCACAGAAGAAGCACCGGCUAACUCCGUGCCAGCAGCCGCGGUAAUACGGAGGGUGCGAGCGUUAAUCGGAAUUACUGGGCGUAAAGCGCGCGUAGGUGGCUUGAUAAGCUGGUUGUGAAAGCCCCGGGCUCAACCUGGGAACGGCAUCCGGAACUGUCAAGCUAGAGUGCAGGAGAGGAAGGUAGAAUUCCCGGUGUAGCGGUGAAAUGCGUAGAGAUCGGGAGGAAUACCAGUGGCGAAGGCGGCCUUCUGGACUGACACUGACACUGAGGUGCGAAAGCGUGGGUAGCAAACAGGAUUAGAUACCCCAGUAGUC